rnacentral:misc_RNA from 1 species
UCGAGAUGCAUCAGAGACAUGGGGAUUUUUUCAAGUAGUCAAUCAUGACAUUCCAUUACCUGUCCUUGAAGAAAUGUUGCAAGGAGCACGAAGAUUUUUCGAGCAAGAUGUGGAGAUAAAGAAACGAUAUUACACUCGAGAUACUACGAAGAAAGUAGCACAUGUUAGCAACUUUGAUUUGUUUAGCCCCUCUGUUCCAGCAGCUAGCUGGAGAGACUCACUUUACUGUUUUAUGUGUCCUAAUCCUCCUAGUCCAGAGGAAUUUCCCACAGUAUGUAGGGAGAUUUUGAUUGAAUUCUCUAAGAAGAUGAUGAAAUUAGGCUGCUCAUUAUUUGAGUUAUUGUCCGAGGGUCUCGGUCUCAAUCCUUGUCAUCUUAAAGAUAUGAACUGUGCUGAAGGGCUAUCUAUUGCCCAACAUUACUAUCCAGCAUGUCCUCAGCCGGAACUCACCAUAGGCACCAGACAGCAUUCGGACUGUGUUUUCAUUACCGUGCUUCUUCAAGAUGAUAUAGGAGGUCUCCAAGUCCGUCACCAAAAUCAGUGGAUUGAUGUUCCUCCUACACGUGGUGCUCUAGUCGUGAAUAUUGGAGAUCUGUUACAGCUCAUAUCGAAUGACAAGUAUAUAAGUGUUGAGCAUAGAGUAUUGUCGAACAAAGUAGGUCCAAGAAUAUCAGUGCCGUGUUUCUUCAGCACUGGUGCAUUUCCCUCUCCAAGGAUUUAUGGACCAAUUAAGGAAUUG